rnacentral:lncRNA from 1 species
GCUUAAAAUUGAAAAAUGUGAGACCCAGGAAGUGGUAUGGGAAACCAGCAUGAGGGGAACAAUUCCAUCCAGAACUGAGACCCUCUCUAUAACCAUUCAAAGAGCACAGGAGAGCCGAGGGUGGUGGUACACACCUGUGAUCCUAGUACUCUGACCAUCUGAGGUAGGAGGAUCUUGAGUUCAAGCCCAUCUUGAGCAACUUAGCAAGGCCUUGUGUCAAAAUUAAAAAAGGUCUUCAGAAGCUCCAGUGUCUUCCACCCUUGUGGCACAUUCCAAGUGUUCCAAAGGCACUCAAGGCUGCUGGCCAAUGUUGGGAGCAAGGUUUAAAAGUCAAAAACUCCACUGGGGCUGGGAAUUUAGCUCAGUGGUUUCUCUGUCUGCUGUGCAAGAGCAAGGACCCGAAGUUCGAUCCCCGUGUACAAAAAAAAAACCCUCCAUGACUCACUCUUCUAACAUUCCAGCAUGCCAGGCCUCUGAGGUUCCAAAAUUCUGCAGCGCGCUAACAUUUUGUAGCAUUACAACUGCGGUUCCGCCAGAUGAAAAUGUUUCAGUACACCCCAAGACUGCUUGUGAAGGCUUUUCCCCACGUGUCUCUGCGUGGAAAGAAGUCCGGACCCAUGGUGAGUCCUGGGGUGGGAGAGGGCAAGGAGCCCUGGCCCCACCAUCUUGCCCAGCCCAGCAGAGAAGGGGGCAGCCGCCACCGCACUGUGCCCCCAGCUCCUCCGCUCUCCGGCCCUGGGCACCAGGCUGGAAGUGACAACUCCUGCCUGAGUCCUCCUCCCUUCCUCUUGGUCUCUGUCCACUUUGGAGAGCCUCUGGGGCCUUCAGCAGCAGAUGGAGUUGGGGAGCAAAACCCCAGAUGGGCUCCCUCGAGCAUGGGACUGGUCUCCAUUUGCUCCGGACUGGAGCCUGGAGACCUGAGAGGGCAGAGGUCAGGGUCUCUGUGGGGCUUGGAAAGCCACAGGCCACACUGAGGGCACCGAUACAGGCCUUUCACAGUGCAGAUGGAGAAACGGAGACCUGAGAGCAAAGGGGUUUCCCAGCUGAGGCACAAGCUGACUCCUGCACUCUGCCAAAAGGGACGCCAGAUAGCAUGAGUCUCCUCUUCCUACACCCGCCCGAGCUCCCUGACUCACCUCUGCCGGUGGGGAAAGUCAAGGAGCAAAGUGACAUGGCAGGAUGUCAAGGAAGCUGUGCAAGGCCGGCGUGGUGGCACUUGCCUAUAAUCUCAGACUCAGGAGGCUGAGGCAGGAGGAUUGAUGCAAGUUCAAGGCCAUCCUGAACUACAUAGCAAGACCCUGUCUAAAAAAAUGAAAAAGAG